CUUGCUCUGACCAUGUCAAGCAUGAGCAUGAGCCUAGCAGCUCGUCAUCUUAUGCAAACAAGUACUGGACCAAAUUUGCCUAAACCAACAUUGCCACCUUUGCCUUCACUUCCAACUCUGCCUCAGGCCAAUGUUCCCCCAUUGCCUACAAUACCAUCUUUGCCUACCACUUUGCCUCCACUUCCCAGCAGCAUCCCAACCAUUCCAACAGUUCCACAGCUCAACCUCCCUCUAUUGCCCUCAAUCCCAACCACUAUGCCCUCCAUCCCAUUUCUUUCCCCGCCACCUUCAGCCUCAAGCCCUUAAAAUACCCUUCCCUUCAUUUCUUCAUUCUAUGACUUGGUGGUGUCUCUGCAAAAUUGCAUGCAUGCAACAGAUAUGGCUUGAUUCCUUCCCGCAUUUGUGAGAGCAUUGUAUGGUGUUAUAUAUCAUACAAUCUUUGUUGUUUGGUGUGAUGAAAAACAGUGUAUUUUGUUUGUUUUCAGUUUAUGAGUUUCUUGCUAUUGCUUGUACUUUUUCUUAUAUUAUAUAGAUUGUGUACUGAUUACACAAUUAUAUAUACAAUUAUGAUUAAUUUGUCUUCUCCUUUUAAGCUCUUCAACAUCCUAAUUAUUUAUAUUUAAUUACAUCACUUAAAAGUAUUUCACUUGACACCUUGAAUUCUCAACGUUUGGCUUAUAUAACUCAUGUAGUCUAUUUACCAGGUAACGAGUAGAAGUAAAUAUAGCAAAACGUGGCAUUGUGAACCGCUAACCGCGAGAAAUUAAAUCUGGUGUUUCAUUUCAUAAAACUGAUUGAGUUGUACAUAACAAUAGUGAUAGUUUCACACUAACUGAAAUUCGUUAUAUAAAUAUUAGCAAAUAAUAACUUUUAGCGCUUCUCUUUUUGGUAAUUAUUAUUGCAUAAAAAAUAAGCCAUUAUGACGAGUUAGAUAAAUUUUUUAAACAGUAAAAAAGAUUAUAAGGCAAUAAUGACAAAUUAUUAGCAACUUAAGUCUAAUUAAGCUUAACUGCUGUCUAUUGCACUUAAUAAUAAGGUAUUAACAUGAAGUUCAGAUCAAGCAAUAUACUACGUAUAAGUUACAAACUUUACAAUAAUUUGUCGUUAUAUUAAUUUAAAAAAUAAUUUUCCGGUGUUGUUCUUAAAACUAAUCAUUGAGAAAAUAAAAACAAAACAUACUACUUUAUGUCAUAACAUAUCCAAAUAUAUGGUAUAUAUAAUAAUAAAAAAACAAAAAUUUAAAUAAUGUUCAAUAAAUGUUGUUUUUCUUCAAUCAACAUUGAUUUUUUACUUCAGAAAUAUAUCUAUGUUGAUCUUUAAUAAGAAAAAUAAAAAAAUAUACAGAUCAUCAAAGUGAAAAUUCAACUCUGAUUAAAAAACAGCACUAAAAGUAAUUAAAAAAUUACUUCUAAAUAUUAUCUAUAUAUAACUUCAAUUAUGCAAUUAACAAAUUAAAUUGUCCCCUAGGCUGAAAAAAGUUUGAAGGGAAAAUUAAUACACUGUGACCACAGGAAGCACAAUUCAUUCAUAUUUGCAUGUCAUAGAGCUUUUGCUAGUUUGAAUAUUUUUUUUAUGUUGUACGAAAAUAAGAGUCCAAAACACACUGAUUAUAUAUAAAAACACACUGAUUAUAUAUAAUUUAAAUUUUGAUGAACUGAGUAAUAAGCCACAGUACUAAAACCCUCACGCUUCACACUUAAACCAGUUAGACAUUUUAGCAAAUAAUCCUUCUUGGAAAUAUCGUCUGCGCGCAUGCAUAUUAAUUAAACAUGAAGAAAAAAGAUCGUUAACAGCAAAGAUAGAAUUGAACAGCAUUAAAAUGAACUGAUGGUACAGUUUUGCAUCAAUAUAUGACAAAUCAAGUACUCAAAGUCUAAGUCGUCUGAGAGUAAUGCAGUACUCCCAACAUUUGAUGCCAUUUAAAACCGACACAUGCAUGAAACACCGUUCUUUAGGUGAGUUCCUCUUCUUCUAAUUAAGGUGCACUAAUAUAAAAACUCAAGGGAAGGCUCUUGUCUUCAUCACCACGAAUCCUCUUACUAUUCAAAUGGCCUCCAUCCGUGUGCUGCUCUUAUCUUUCUUUUUCAUUGCUUUGUCACUUUUUUCCUUUGGCAAUGUCGAAGCCAGUAGAAAACUUCUGGCACCAACAUUACCCGAUUUGGGGAAUUCUCUUCCUCGCCUGAUAUUUCCUCCAUUUCCACCAGUAACGGACUGGCCAGAGUAUAGGUUGCCUCCCCCAUUGAUUCGCACGCUUCCACCCUUCUCACCUCCUUCAGCCACAACAACCAAUCCUUGAGUUGAAUAGUAUAUAUGAUCAGCAGAUCAUACAUGUACUGUAUAUCGAUGAUGUUGCAUAACUUGCAUUGCAUGUGGUGAUGUAGUGCAGUAAAAUAAAGGUUCACGUCACGCUCAAGCUUUCCUAAUAUCUUACGUGUUUAUUUAUUGACUUCAUCGUUGUUUGCUAUCCUUUGAUUGGGUGAGAUAUAUAUGCUUUGUAGUAGCACCUUGUAAUGGAGCAUCUUAUAAUUUUUUUCUUGUACUGGUGGAUUCAUAUAGACUAUUAGACUACGCCUUUAAGAGGAUGUAAUAUGUAAUUUUUUUUUUUAAUGUGAGAGGAUAUAAGUUUGAAGCUUUGUAUCAGUAUUCUAGAGUAAAAAAAUAAAAAAAAUAUAAUAGUGGAAAACAAGAUUAAAAAAAUUACGAAAAUAAAUUCCUCCUAAUUGUGGUCAUCAAAGUCAAAUAGAUGCAUUUCGGUGAUUGGCGGUCAAAGACUAAAAUGGUAGCUGAGGUGAACUCAGUUAGAUGAACCAACUCUUGGGUAUUCCCCCUUUUCCAACAACAACUCUUUCUUUCUUUAAUGCAUACAAAAUCUGAUGAGUUGGUCAUCCUACAUUUGAAUAUUGGGGACUAUAACUUCAUAUAAUAGCCAAAACCUUAUUAGUCCAACGUAAUAAAAAUACAGGAGAUAGGUGAACUAACAAAAAGAUUGGCUACUCUCUAUUUGGUUCUCCAAAUUAACAAAGUUGAAGUGAAACCAUGAUAUAUCCCAACUCUCUAGCCCUAUAUAAGACCAAGCACUAUCCUUCAGCCUCUCAUACAAUCUCAGAGCACAUACACACCAUAUUCAUAUUUGGCAAUUCCUCUUCUUCAUUCUUACCAUUUCCAUUGAGCUAUGGCCUCAAGCAAAUUAUUCAUCACAGCUUUCCUUCUUGCUCUGACCUUCUCAAGCAUGAGCAUGAGCCUAGCAGCUCGCCAUCUUAUGCAAACAAGUACUGCACCAAAUUUGCCGGGUAUUCCAAGUUUGCCUUCACCAACAUUGCCACCUUUGCCUUCACUUCCAACACUGCCUCAGGCCAAUGUUCCACCUUUGCCUACUAUCCCAACACUUCCACAACCUAACCUACCAUCUUUGCCAACCACUUUGCCUCCACUUCCCAGCAGCAUCCCUACCAUUCCAACACUCCCACAGCUCAACAUUCCUCCA
rnacentral:lncRNA from 1 species